rnacentral:rRNA from 1 species
ACCGGAUAAGUCUUUACGGAGAAAGCUUUAUGCACCAUUGGAUGAGCCUGCACUUGAUUAGUUUGUUGGUGGGGUAAUGGCCUACCAAGACUGUGAUCAAUAGCUGAUUUGAGAGGAUGAUCAGCCACAUUGGGACUGAGACACGGCCCAAACUCCUACGGGAGGCAGCAGUGGGGAAUCUUGCACAAUGGAGGAAACUCUGAUGCAGCGAUGCCGCGUGAGUGAAGAAGGCCCUUGGGUUGUAAAGCUCUUUCGUCGGGGAAGAAAAUGACUGUACCCGAAUAAGAAGGUCCGGCUAACUUCGUGCCAGCAGCCGCGGUAAUACGAAGGGACCUAGCGUAGUUCGGAAUUACUGGGCUUAAAGAGUUCGUAGGUGGUUGAAAAAGUUGGUGGUGAAAUCCCAGAGCUUAACUCUGGAACUGCCAUCAAAACUUUUCAGCUAGAGUAUGAUAGAGGAAAGCAGAAUUUCUAGUGUAGAGGUGAAAUUCGUAGAUAUUAGAAAGAAUACCAAUUGCGAAGGCAGCUUUCUGGAUCAUUACUGACGCUGAGGAACGAAAGCAUGGGUAGCGAAGAGGAUUAGAUACCCUCGUAGUCCAUGCCGUAAACGAUGUGUGUUAGACGUUGGAAAUUUAUUUUCAGUGUCGCAGCGAAAGCGAUAAACACACCGCCUGGGGAGUACGACCGCAAGGUUAAAACUCAAAUGAAUUGACGGGGACCCGCACAAGUAGUGGAGCAUGUGGUUUAAUUCGAAGAUACGCGCAGAACCUUACCAACACUUGACAUGUUCGUCGCGACUCUAAGAGAUUAGAGUUUUCGGUUCGGCCGGACGAAACACAGGUGCUGCAUGGCUGUCGUCAGCUCGUGUCGUGAGAUGUUGGGUUAAGUCCCGCAACGAGCGCAACC